CUGACUCUAGCAACUCUAACUUUUGAUGGGACACCAUCAGACCAGUGGACUUUGCGGAAGAGUGUGCAUAGAAACUGCACUGAGGUGAUGAAGAAAGAGCAAGAAAGAGGGCAUUGUGCAUUAAGCAAAUGCUCUGGCUGGAAGAGCAGUGCAGAGUGAAAGACCAUGGGACCCAUGAAUGCUCACUCAUCCGAUGCCAGAGACAAGCACAUGUCAGACCACUGCCUGAGUCCUCGGAUGACAAUGCUGAUGAACAUUAUGGAGGCAAUGCUAAUGAUGAGGAAGAACCUGGACCUAUAUAUGCUGUCAUCCCUGCUGCAAGCUGAAGGAAGUGCCACUCUCCAAAACCAGCAGAUGAUUUCUGGGACCAGAUCUGUGAGGUGAUGACUGAUGUCUUUCAAACACAGAUGGGGGACCUGAUGAAGAAUUUCUUUCAGGAUAUGGCACUGGCUAUGUGGGACUCAUUUAGAGAAAACAUCCUGGGAGAUCAUUUGUGAUGUUCAUCCCCCUCAAGUUGGGCCUUCCAGGCCAUAAAUAUUGUCUGUGUGAUCCGCUUGUUUACUGCUACCACCAUGGUGUUUGACAUAUAAGCAAUUGGACUUUAUAGGCACACUUGUGUAUGCAUAACAUAUUGCUACCAUGCUUAUAUGAUACACAGCCAACCGUACUCUGCAGAUGUUGUGUGACAUUUUGCAUUUGGUUGCACCUGCUGCAUGGCACAUAUUACUACAUUAGACAUGCAGUCAUCAUGCUGAUGUCCAUGUGUUUCUGCACUUGAUGCCUACUUUGCUCCAUGUUGGCAGGUGUGGUACCCCCUCACAUUUGUGUGUGUGUGUGUGUGUGUGUGUGUGUGUGUGUGUGUGUGUGU